AGUGAACGCUGGCGGUAGGCCUAACACAUGCAAGUCGAACGGCAGCACAGUAAGAGCUUGCUCUUACGGGUGGCGAGUGGCGGACGGGUGAGGAAUACAUCGGAAUCUACUUUUUCGUGGGGGAUAACGUAGGGAAACUUACGCUAAUACCGCAUACGACCUACGGGUGAAAGCAGGGGAUCUUCGGACCUUGCGCGAUUGAAUGAGCCGAUGUCGGAUUAGCUGGUUGGCGGGGUAAAGGCCCACCAAGGCGACGAUCCGUAGCUGGUCUGAGAGGAUGAUCCGCCACCCUGGAACUGAGACACGGUCCAGACUCCUACGGGAGGCCGCAGUGGGGAAUAUUGGACAAUGGGCGCAAGCCUGAUCCAGCCAUACCGCGUGGGUGAAGAAGGCCUUCGGGUUGUAAAGCCCUUUUGUUGGGAAAGAAAAGCAGCAGGCUAAUACCCCGCUGUUCUGACGGUACCCAAAGAAUAAGCACCGGCUAACUUCGUG
rnacentral:rRNA from 1 species